UGGACAGGGUUUCAUAAAUCUCCUCCAAUAGAGAAACAUGCAUAUGCUGUUAGUAUAUACACGUUUAUGGGGGUUUCUGCAAUCAUCUUUCGAGAUUUUACAGCAUGCCAUAAAGAAAGUAGCCAGAAUUACAACCACAACAUCUAAAUAUGGGGUUUGUUCGACCAAAGAGAAACCUAACUUUAUUUACAGAGCAAUAUUUAGUUUACUUUUACCCAUUUACAAGAGUGCGGAGGAUGCGAUUGUCGGCUUACGCCUGUAAUUAAUACUUAAGGGAACUUUGUUCACAUUCUUGAAGCUUAAUAAAGUACGAAAACAAUCCAGAACAGAUUAUGACUUGGGGGGUGCCAAUCCUUAGAUUGUGUCUUUUAUCAGGAAACCAAUGUUUAUCAGAAAUCGGCAUGCAGUAAUGGAUUUUUAUUACUAAAUAGGUCAGAAAUGUUGUGCAGACACUUUUUUUUAAAUAAAUCUUUAUGAGGGUUGGCGAACACAGCUGUAUAUCCACUACUUUAUUGAAAUAGUUCUCUGAAAAUCAUUGUAUAUGGACUUACACAGCUCCAGUGCACAAACAGCAAGCUCCUCAGGUCCCUCUAGAGGUGGCCACCUGAUUUUUUUUUUAAUGCUUUUGACAAUCUUUUGACAUUCCCAAGAGACAUGUCAAAAGUAUAGAUCCAUCAGGGUGUGGGUGUCCAGACCCUGACCGAUUGCUAGAAUCAUAAGGGAGAAGCAUGUGGCUGAUAUGGAUAGCAGGGAUUGUCUUGCUAUUUUGUCUUCUGCUGAUCAGGCUUCACUGUUGAGAGCUCAUUGUGAGUAGGAGUUUCUGAUUGGUUUGCCUCUCUUAAUCUAUCCCUGACUGUUGCAGUGUGGUGCAGAUUAAACCCAGUGUCACCUCCAUUUUCCUAGUACUUCGUUCUAGUCUCCAGACUUUGUUCAGUCUACUUGGGUUUUAGUUCACUCUUUUAGUUGUUGUUUCUAACUUUGCAGUUGCUGUUCUCCCAGUUUGACCUUGUUGCAGUUGAUUCUUAGUUUAGUAGUGUUCAUCCUUGUUUUUUUCUGUGGGUAAUAAAGCCCUCCUGCUGUUUAAAGGGGUAUUCCGCCCCUAGACAUCUCAUCCCCUAUCCAAAGGAUAGGGGAUAAGAUGUCUGAUCGUGGGGGUCCCACCGUAGGGAACCCCCCGCGAUCUCUCCUGCAGCACCCUGAGUCAUCAGCUGCAUGGAGAAAAGAUAGCUCCGUGCU